AUUGAACGCUGGCGGCAGGCCUAACACAUGCAAGUCGAACGAGUGGCGGACGGGUGCGUAAUGUCUGGGAAACUGCCUGAUGGAGGGGGAUAACUACCGGAAACGGUAGCUAAUACCGCAUACCAUCAGAUGUGCCCAGAUGGGAUUAGCUUGUUGGUGGGGUAACGGCUAAACAAGGCGACGAUCCCUAGCUGGUCUGAGAGGAUGACCAGGCACACUGGGACUGAGACAAGGACCAAACUCCUACGGGAGGCAGCAGUAGGGAAUAUUGCACAAUGGGCGCAAGCCUGAUGCAGCAAUGCCGGGUGGAUGAGGAAGGGCAUCGGGUUGUAAAGUACUGUCAGCGAGGAGGCGUUACCCGCAGAAGAAGCACCGGCUAACUCCGUGCCAGCAGCCGCGGUAAUUG
rnacentral:rRNA from 1 species